rnacentral:tRNA from 1 species
AGAAGUGUGCCCGAGACAGGGGUUAUUUUGAUGAAAUAAACACAGAGCAACACACUCUCGCUUCCA